AUUCACAUCUUCCAACACUGCCACCCUGUCUAAAUGUCACUCCGUUGACCAGGGCUAGUACGACUACCACAGACUGCUAGCUUGGCUACACUGCUGUCACCCAACAACAUACACACAAUCGUCGGUACAACCACUGUAAUCACACAACGAGAGAAAGAGCAAAGGGGCUCCUACGUACGAACGCUUGCUCGUACAUACAUACGGUACCUUAGUUAUAUCGCUCCUACCGUUUUUUCCAAUUCCAAUUCCAAAACGUACACGGCAGUAUUCGUUCGUAGUCGACGUCGUCUUGGUUCUCGCUGUAGUCGUCGUCGUAGUCUAAUAGGCACUUUUCAGCUGCUGCUACUUCUUUUGCUCGGCCAGAGUGAUUUUUAAUGUUACACACCUUCGACUUUAAACUAGUUGAGUUGUUCUACGGGACAGACGAGACUGUCUCGGUUUUUGUGGGUGCAAAUUAGGUGAAUCAGUUCUAAUUAGUGACUGUGAAUCGCGAGACGAACCAUCCCUGGUGCGUACCACAAUUAGUAUGGUUCGAUAAUUCGGCCAAAGUGCGAGUGACGUUUUACGAUUUGCCCUCCGGAUCCUUUGGGGCCCAGUCGCGCAGUGACCCGUUUUCGAAUCUGGACCUGGAUUUCGGGAUCCCCCCUCUCAAAUGGUCUGCCCUGGUGACCGACGAUCAUUAUCGUCAGUGCUGGCAAUUUUCGGGCACCACUUUCCCCGGUGCGUUUUGAGGCCAAACGAAGAAAAUUCGAUUUUCCAAUAAUUCCUACGGAACGGGCCAAACGACGAAGAAAGAAAAAAAGUUUUUUUUUUCGCUCAACAUCAUUUAUACACACAUAGCAUAAGUUGUCUCAUUUGACGAAACCCUCUUAUUUCUUUCUUCUCCCGAUAAACUGUGUAUGGGUGUGCGUCCGAACCAGGCAGAAGAAAUCGCUGCGAUCCCCCAUAAUAUCGGAUAUCGCGAAUAGCAGGGGUGUGCGUGCCAUCAUCACUCGUCGUCGUCCCAUCAUGCCCCUACUAUGUACUACUAUAUCUGAUGUUUGAAAUAAUUGUAGUUUCAGUGUUGCUGCUCUCUCUCACAAUUUGCUCUCGUGAUGGUGGUGUGCAAUCAAUGUGAGCUGUGAAUGAAAAUUUUGAGGCCAAAAUAGAGAUCUCUCGAUGAAGAAGAAGUGUGUUGUGUGCUGCCCGGAAGGAAAUUGGUUCAGCAAAAAAUAAAUAAUACAUCAGUACAGGCAAAAUAAGGUGGAAAGUGCUUCAGGUUUCGGCCGACAGUUCGAAGGAAGCACACGAAAAAAAAAAAGAAAAAAGAAAAGAUCGAGGAAAAUUCGUGCCUCGCGUUAAGUAGUGCAUCGGAAUCGUAUUUUUUAAUUGAAAGAAAUUUCGUACGUGUGGGAUUGCUGGAUGCUACUCUGUAAGCAGUGCUGAGCACUACCCCGUUGUAACAUUCCCAUCACAAACCGUUCAUCGUUUGCUUGCCGAAAGUUUGGAUUCAGUGCAAAUUCCGUGCGAAGAGAUACCAAGUGAAAUCAAGAAAAUCACCAAUCAAAACAGGAAUCACAAAUCACCAACAGGAAUUAGUGCCACAAAAAAGUGAGAAUAAUUUCAACAAAAAAAAAAAUCAAAAUCAACAAAGUGUGUGACCGACACAGUGAAACCAAAAUUGCAACGACGAUCGGUCCCGGGAAGUAAUAGAUCCGUUCCCGUUCUGUUGUCGUUGAAGUUGUCGAUUGUUGAUUUGUUCGAUCCAGAAUUGUGUUGUGUGACAGUGAGAAGACGGAAAACAAGACGGAGCAGCCCGCAUUGUCAACAGGAGCAGGAGUAGCGACGACAUCCCAGCAGCAGCAGCAACAGCAGGACUACGGCGACGAGAUGAGUGGUCGGCCCAGGACUACCUCUUUUGCGGAGGGCAACAAGACGCAAAACUAUCCCGUUAUGGGCGGCAUGAAAAUAAUAAGUAAGCAACUCUAUCCAACCCCUAGUUCGGAUGCUUUUAAAUUUAUUGAUCGGAAACACGAGAAAGU